AAACUAGGAUUAGAUACCCUAUUAUUUAAGUUGAUUUUAUAAUUUUUAUUAUUUUAGUUACAUAAAAAAUUAAACUGAUUUGGCGGUUUAUUAAACUUUUUGGAGGAAUCUGUGUAUUAAAUUGAUAGUCCACGAUUUUUUAUACCUUGAUUUUCUUGUAUAUCUCUAUAAUGAAUAUUUUUAGAGAAUAAUUUUCUUUUUCAAAAAUCAUUGUUUAAAUGUAGGUCAAGGUGCAGUUAUAUUAGGGGGUUUCAUGGAUUACAAAAAUUUUUGUUUUUGAAUUAUUUUUUUUAGAAUUUAUGUGAAAUUGGAUUCAAAAGUAAUUUUUUUUUUUAAAAAAAUUGAAUAAUGCUCUGAUUUAUGUACAUAUCGCCCGUCAUUCCCAUCAAGUGGGACAAGUCGUAACAAAGUAGAUGUAUUGGAAAAUGUGUCUAGCAGAUA
rnacentral:rRNA from 1 species